GACGAACGCUGGCGGCGUGCUUAACACAUGCAAGUCGAACGGAAAGGCCCUUCGGGGUACUCGAGUGGCGAACGGGUGAGUAACACGUGGGUGAUCUGCCCUGCACUUUGGGAUAAGCCUGGGAAACUGGGUCUAAUACCGAAUAGGACUGCGCUCUUCAUGGGGUGUGGUGGAAAGCUUUUGCGGUGUGGGAUGGGCCCGCGGCCUAUCAGCUUGUUGGUGGGGUAAUGGCCUACCAAGGCGACGACGGGUAGCCGGCCUGAGAGGGUGACCGGCCACACUCGGACUGAGAGACGGCCCAGACUCCUACGGGAGGCAGCAGUGGGGAAUAUUGCACAAUGGGCGCAAGCCUGAUGCAGCGACGCCGCGUGAGGGAUGACGGCCUUCGGGUUGUAAACCUCUUUCAGUACCGACGAAGCGCAAGUGACGGUAGGUACAGAAGAAGGACCGGCCAACUACGUGCCAGCCGCCGCGGUAAAAC
rnacentral:rRNA from 1 species